CCUACGGGAGGCAGCAGUAGGGAAUAUUGCUCAAUGGGGGAAACCCUGAAGCAGCAACGCCGCGUGGAGGAUGAAGGUUCUCGGAUUGUAAACUCCUUUUGUUAGAGAAGAUAAUGACGGUAUCUAACGAAUAAGCACCGGCUAACUCCGUGCCAGCAGCCGCGGUAAUACGGAGGGUGCAAGCGUUACUCGGAAUCACUGGGCGUAAAGAGCGCGUAGGCGGGAUAGCAAGUCAGAUGUGAAAUCCUAUGGCUUAACCAUAGAACUGCAGUUGAAACUGUUAUUCUAGAGUAUGGGAGGGGUAGGUGGAAUUCUUGGUGUAGGGGUAAAAUCCGUAGAGAUCAAGAGGAAUACUCAUUGCGAAGGCGACCUGCUAGAACAUAACUGACGCUGAUGCGCGAAGGCGUGGGGAGCGAACGGGAUUAGAUACCCUGGUAGUC
rnacentral:rRNA from 1 species